rnacentral:rRNA from 1 species
GAUGAACGCUGGCGGCGUGCCUAAUACAUGCAAGUCGAGCGAACGGACGAGAAGCUUGCUUCUCUGAUGUUAGCGGCGGACGGGUGAGUAACACGUGGAUAACCUACCUAUAAGACUGGGAUAACUUCGGGAAACCGGAGCUAAUACCGGAUAAUAUUUUGAACCGCAUGGUUCAAAAGUGAAAGGCGGUCUUGCUGUCACUUAUAGAUGGAUCCGCGCUGCAUUAGCUAGUUGGUAAGGUAACGGCUUACCAAGGCAACGAUGCAUAGCCGACCUGAGAGGGUGAUCGGCCACACUGGAACUGAGACACGGUCCAGACUCUUACGGGAGGCAGCAGUAGGGAAUCUUCCGCAAUGGGCGAAAGCCUGACGGAGCAACGCCGCGUGAGUGAUGAAGGUCUUCGGAUCGUAAAACUCUGUUAUUAGGGAAGAACAUAUGUGUAAGUAACUGUGCACAUCUUGACGGUACCUAAUAAGAAAGCCACGGCUAACUACGUG